rnacentral:rRNA from 1 species
AGAACGAACGCUGGCGGCGUGGAUAAGACAUGCAAGUCGAACGCGACUUAUUUUGUUAGCAAUAACGAGAUAAGUUGAGUGGCGAAAGGGUGCGUAACACGUGGGAAUUUACCAAGAAGUGGGGAAUAGCUCGACGAAAGUCGAAUUAAUACCGCAUGUGAUCGAAAGAUCAAAGUCGGGGACCGCAAGGCCUGACGCUUUUUGAGAAGCCCGCGGCCCAUCAGCUAGUUGGCGAGGUAAAAGCUCACCAAGGCUAUGACGGGUAGCUGGUCUGAGAGGACGACCAGCCACACUGGAACUGAGACACGGUCCAGACACCUACGGGUGGCAGCAGUCGAGAAUUUUUCACAAUGGACGAAAGUCUGAUGGAGCGACGCCGCGUGGAGGAUGAAGGUUUUCGGAUUGUAAACUCCUGUCACUGCAGAACAAGGAUACGUCAGUUAACAGCCGACGUAUUU